AUACAGAACCUUCUCACUGCUGCAGAGAGUUAUAUUGGAUGAUGCUGCGUCUCUGACAGACUCUGAUGAGGCUUGCUGGUUCUGACAUUCGUUCUGGCUAAAGCUGACUCCUGAUACUCAAAAGCAAGGUUCCCCUGGUUUCAUAGAAAACAAGAGCUCUUCGGUAUCCCCAUCAGCCAGUUUCCGAGGUGCUGAGAAGCACAGAAACUCCACAGACUACUCCUCGGAGAGCAAAAAACAGAAAACUGAAGAAAAGGAAAUUGCAGCUCGUUAUGACAGCGAUGGUGAGAAAAGUGAUGACAACUUGGUGGUUGACGUUUCCAAUGAGGAUCCCUCUUCUCCUCGAGGGAGCCCAGCACAUUCCCCCAGAGAGAAUGGCCUGGACAAGACACGCCUGCUCAAGAAAGAUGCCCCGAUUAGUCCAGCCUCUAUUGCAUCUUCCAGCAGUACUCCCUCCUCCAAAUCCAAAGAACUUAGCCUUAAUGAAAAAUCUACUACUCCCGUUUCAAAGUCCAAUACCCCUACU
rnacentral:sRNA from 1 species